rnacentral:lncRNA from 1 species
AGGGAGUAGAAGGUGUUCGCCUUAUUAUUCUUCGAAAGAAUUGAACGAUUGGUGUGCACCACAUUGCUCAAUCUUUUGUCGUUCUUUUAAAAAUAUCUAACACAUCAAUUCAACUUGUCACCCCCGUGUGAGCAAAACUCUUUUCAAAAAGAACAUUGUUUAAUCUUUUUUAACGCGCACAACAAACUAGUGCUUAAGCCUCCGUCGAGAGUAGACAAGCCAACGUUUAGCCUUUAGAAUGCGAUCUAAACAGCUGUUCAUUAAAAGCCAC